rnacentral:rRNA from 1 species
UACGGAGGGGGCUAGCGUUGUUCGGAAUUACUGGGCGUAAAGCGCACGUAGGCGGCUUUGUAAGUUAGAGGUGAAAGCCCAGGGCUUAACCCUGGAAUUGCCUUUAAGACUGCAUCGCUAGAAUCGUGGAGAGGUAAGUGGAAUUCCCAGUGUAGAGGUGAAAUUCGUAGAUAUUUGGGAAGAACACCGGUGGCGAAGGCGACCAACUGGACCGAUAUUGACGCUGAGGCACGAAAGCGUGGGUAGCAAACAGG